AUAUAUAUGUGUUCAUCGUAUAGCAACCGCGCAACGCAUUAUGGGUAAAUGGACGCCAGCGAAAAAUGAAAGACCCUGAUGCGAUUCUCGACAUCGAUAUGUCAGAUGUUUGAACGCCGUCCAAAAGGUCUAACCAGGUGUCCUCAGCAUCGAUUCAUCAAUACAUAUAUCAAGUAAAGUUGAGGAAAACCUGAAUAAGAAAUCGUUCAGUCUCUUGACUGCUGACCUGAUGGUGGCUUUAUGGGACUGAAACCUUAUCAACGUACAGUAUGAAAAAAAUGAAAAAUUGUGAGAAACCAUCCUUAGACCAGGUGAAGCUGCAGGCAAUAAUAGACUACGUUGUGAACAUUUUUCCAACCAUUCCAGUCAGCAUGAUAAGGCUGGUCAUGCGACAGAAGUUAAAUAAUUCAAAAACUGGGAAAAAAUAGGAAAAUAGAAACAUAAAAACUGGGAAACUGCAUUUUUAUUGACGCACGGCCGGC